rnacentral:rRNA from 1 species
UACGAAGGGAGCUAGCGUUGUCCGGAAUUAUUGGGCGUAAAGAGCUCGUAGGCGGUCUGUCGCGUCGGCUGUGAAAACCUGGGGCUCAACUCCGGGCCUGCAGCCGAUACGGGCAGACUAGAGUUCGGUAGGGGAGACUGGAAUUCCUGGUGAGCGGUGAAAUGCGCAGAUAUCAGGAAGAACACCUAUGGCGAAGGCAGCACUCUGGGACGGUACUGACGCUGAGGUGCGGAAAGCCGUGGGGAGCAAAGCAGG